rnacentral:lncRNA from 1 species
AGAGUACAACCUGAACUCUCUGGAAAUUUGAAAGGAAAAUAAAUUUAGUGGAGAUCAUAAACAAAAUGGAAGAUUGAAUGGAGUCACCUAUGUUACAAGUAGCUGUGGCAUUUAGCAUAUUUUAUUGAUCAUGUGAUUAGUAUAACUAUGUUCCAAGUAGGUAUACCAUUCGGUAUUGGAUUGAACUUCUUAAGAAAAGUCGCAAG